rnacentral:rRNA from 1 species
ACCUUUUGAGUUUGUUCUUGUGGGUUUCGAGGAGUUUAAAAGCCUUCGGAUUUGCUAGGAUUGGGCUCUUUUGGUGUACUUUCUCGUACGGUUAGUCAACAUCGGUUUUGAAUGUCAUAAAAUGACUGGAGGAAUGUGGCUUCGAUCUCGCAUCGAAGUGUUAUAACCUUUGGUAGAUGUGAUGUUCGAGACCGAGGAUUGCAACGGAUACCUUCUGGGCUAUUCGUCUGAUCUCUGAUACGUUGCCUUGAUGUCGAAAGCGUGCUUAUGAUGUUAGGGUAUUACGGUCAAAAGGUUAGAACGGAUUAAAUUCGUUAAGGAUGUUGACGUAAUGACUUU